GGUCUGUUGGCAGAAUUGGCAUUGCGUCUGACUACGAGCGGCUUCUUCACGAGGUUGUAAUCAGUUGACAUCAGGAGAUUCUGGGUUCGAUCCCCAGGCAGACCU